rnacentral:misc_RNA from 1 species
GAUGAAGAACGUAGCGAAAUGCGAUAAGUAGUGUGAAUUGCAGAAUUCAGUGAAUCAUCGAAUCUUUGAACGCACAUUGCGCCCCUUGGUAUUCCAUGGGGCAUGCCUGUUCGAGCGUCAUUUGUACCUUCAAGCUUUGCUUGGUGUUGGGUGUUUGUUCUGAGGGACUCGCCUUAAAGUAAUUGGCAGCCAGUGUUUGGUUUUGAAGCGCAGCACAAGUCGCGAUUCAAAGCUAUACGCCCGCUUCCACAAGCCUUUUUCACUUUUGACCUCGGAUCAGGUAGGGAUACCCGCUGAACUUAAGCAUAUCAAUAAGCGGAGGA